AAUUUGCGACAUCUUUAAUUCACUUUUAUGUAAAAGCACAAACACAUACGUUUAUCCAGCCGGCAUAUGCUUUUGCAAUCGCUAUCAUGCCUUAAUUGAUCUUUGGUUUGCGAUCUCAAUGCAUGCAUGCAAUUAACUUUGGGGUAGUCUCCAUCCCCACUGUACUUUGACUGUUGUUUGACCCUUGCAACUGUGGAGUUUACGUGGGCAACAAAUGAUGUAUACUUUGUUGUUGCAGAUUUCGUUAACUAAAACUUUUCAAUAAACGCUCUUUAGUUUGCAUAACUUAUUCAUGUUGAGUGAUAUCCAUCUAAAUGAUCUAUGUGUCUUUCUGUCCAUGCUAUUCAUGGAUACCCUGCAUUAUGAUGAUCCUAAUGCAUUUUCUAGAUUGCUCACAAGAUUGACAUUAGUAGUCAUGGUUGUCUAACACAAGAAUAUCCUCCUCUUGCACAAUUUCAAAAUUGAUGUUAUUGUGGAAGAUAACACAAAUCAACACAAUUUCCUCAUGAUAGGAAGACACGCCGAAAAAAUACUUUGUGUUUCUUGCCACACUUCGAUGAUGGAAGAAGGAUAUGACGAUCCUUUUGUGGCGCCACCAUUCUUGCAAAUUUGGUGGGCCAAUCAAAAACAUUUCAAGUCUCUUUUGGAAAUCAGAACAGCAACUUUGGAAAGACAUUUCAAUGUUCACGGAUUGCUUGAAGAUAAGCCACUGUCCGAGCCAGCAAUCCCCUCAAUCAAACCACAAACGCCCACUCCCACCACAGCAAAAAAAAAAAAUAUCAAUCAAGUCACUCUGCCCCAUUGACACCUUCCCAACCAUUGGAUCAACAACCCCGAUCAAUUGCAGCCGCUAGGACUUUGAAAAGAACGUUGUUCCCUGAUCAACCAAACACAUCAGCCAGCAAAAAACCUCGCACCAAGCAAACAACCACAACAAAUGCUGACAGAAUUGCUGCAGAAUUCCACAAUCUGGUUGUCCCCAAGAUCAAACCUGCCGACAAAGUUCCAAUUGCUGCCCUCAAAACAAAAACUCAGCCCAAAAAAACAAAGAUAGUGUGGAAGAUCUUCGGUCCCAGAAAAAGUGAACAGCCAUGCUCUCCGUGAUUGAAUGCUACACACCAUGCUGCAUAUUUUUUUGUUUUAACAUCUAUGGUUGACGACUUACUUGUGCAAACACCACUUUUCCUGUGUUUUGCUAUCUGCUAAGUGAGGUAUGUAGGUUGCAGAGCAUAUAUUUUGUCGUCUUAACUGCAGAGGCAAAAUAUGUGUAAACUGCAGUUUGCUUCUGUUUCUUCAGUUUCAUAUGAAAACAGACUUUUCUGUUUUUUUGCCUUUGAACAAUUGUGGUUCAAAAAUUAGCUACUUGAACAAGCCCUCAACACUUUCUAUGUUAUAUUUCCUGUUGAACUACCUGCCUACACUACAGGACACAUGUUAUAUGUGUGAACUAAAUGUUUCUUCUGUUUCUUAAGUAAACAGAAGUUUUUUGGAAACCAUCUCUUUCUAAUCAAACACGUACAGUUUCUUCCCACUCAUUGUGCAAUGUGUUUAUA